AGGAUGAAAAUCAUAAUGGCAAUACUGGAAGCCAGAGGACAGCAGAGCAGCACCCUCAAAGUUAUAAAGAGAAAUCAGUUUUGGCUUAGAAUUCAGGAGUCUACCAAAGUAUCAUUUGAGGUUAAAGAUAGAAAAAUAGGAUUUCCGGCCUCUCGGCUUUCAGCUCAGAGGGGGCGAAGGUGCAGCUUUCUUCGGUCCUCCCGAAUCCGGGUUCAUCCGACACCAGCCGCCUCCACCAUGCCGCCGAAGUUCGACCCCAACGAGAUCAAAGUCGUAUACCUGAGGUGCACCGGAGGUGAAGUCGGCGCCACUUCUGCGCUGGCCCCCAAGAUCGGCCCCCUGGGUCUGUCUCCGAAAAAGGUUGGUGAUGACAUUGCCAAGGCAACGGGUGACUGGAAGGGCCUGAGGAUUACAGUGAAACUGACCAUUCAGAACAGACAGGCCCAGAUUGAGGUGGUGCCUCCUGCCUCUGCCCUGAUCAUCAAAGCCCUCAAGGAACCACCGAGAGACAGAAAGAAACAGAAAAACAUUAAACACAGUGGGAAUGUCACUUUUGAUGAGAUCGUCAACAUUGCUCGACAGAUGCGGCACCGAUCCUUAGCCAGAGAACUCUCUGGAACCAUUAAAGAGAUCCUGGGGACUGCCCAGUCUGUGGGCUGUAAUGUUGAUGGCCGCCACCCCCAUGACAUCAUAUAUGACAUCAACAGUGGUGCUGUGGAAUGCCCAGCUAGUUAAGCACAAAGGAAAGUAUUUCAAUAAAGGAUCAUUUGACAACUGG